rnacentral:rRNA from 1 species
GACGAACGCUGGCGGCGUGCCUAAUACAUGCAAGUAGAACGCUGAAGGAGGAGCUUGCUUCUCUGGAUGAGUUGCGAACGGGUGAGUAACGCGUAGGUAACCUGCCUGGUAGCGGGGGAUAACUAUUGGAAACGAUAGCUAAUACCGCAUAAGAGUAGAUGUCGCAUGACAUUUGCUUAAAAGGUGCAAUUGCAUCACUACCAGAUGGACCUGCGUUGUAUUAGCUAGUUGGUGAGGUAACGGCUCACCAAGGCAACGAUACAUAGCCGACCUGAGAGGGUGAUCGGCCACACUGGGACUGAGACACGGCCCAGACUCCUACGGGAGGCAGCAGUAGGGAAUCUUCGGCAAUGGACGGAAGUCUGACCGAGCAACGCCGCGUGAGUGAAGAAGGUUUUCGGAUCGUAAAGCUCUGUUGUUAGAGAAGAACGAGUGUGAGAGUGGAAAGUUCACACUGUGACGGUAGCUUACCAGAAAGGGACGGCUAACUACGUG